rnacentral:rRNA from 1 species
UACGAAGGGGCUAGCGUUGCUCGGAAUCACUGGGCGUAAAGGGUGCGUAGGCGGGUCUUUAAGUCAGGGUGAAAUCCUGGAGCUCAACUCCAGAACUGCCUUUGAUACUGAGGAUCUUGAGUACGGGAGAGGUGAGUGGAACUGCGAGUGUAGAGGUGAAAUUCGUAGAUAUUCGCAAGAACACCAGUGGCGAAGGCGGCUCACUGGCCCGUAACUGACGCUGAGGCACGAAAGCGUGGGGAGCAAACAGG